rnacentral:lncRNA from 1 species
GUCAACUUUUGAAAUAUCAUAGUUAUGCUAAUUCAACCCCACACAACUUCAAACAAGACUCAUUCACCCCCUUAAAUAAGAUGAUAUCAUUGUUUUCACUUUAGGCUUGUAAUGAGAAUAAACAAAAAAUUAGAUAAAUAUACUCAAAGGGACUUCAAACAAGGGGUGAUAAUUUCAUGGUUGAUUUUUUGGCUAAAUGGAUAAAAAAAAUGCAUUUAUCAUAUUAAUGUGCACAAGUAUACAAAAAUGUUUCUUG